AGCAGCCGCGGUAAUUCCAGCUCCAAUAGCGUAUAUUAAAGUUGUUGCAGUUAAAAGCUCGUAGUUGAACUUCGGAAUUUGCCAUUGGUCAGGCUUAACUGUCUGCACUGGUGUGACGAGUUCCUACCUUCUGAGGAAUCUCCAUGUCAUUCAGUUGGUGUGGGGGAAAUCAGGACUGUUACUUUGAAAAAUUAGAGUGUUUAAAGCAGGCGUCCGUCUGAAUACAUUAGCAUGGAAUAAUAAAAUAGGACGGUUUGGUUCUAUUUUGUUGGUUUCUAGGAUCACCGUAAUGAUUAAUAGGGAUAGUUGGGGGCAUUAGUAUUCAAUUGUCAGAGGUGAAAUUCUUGGAUUUAUUGAAGACUAACUACUGCGAAAGCAUUUGCCAAGGAUGUUUUCAUUAAUCAAGAACGAAGUUAGGGAUCGAAGACGAUCAGAUACCGUCGUAGUCUUAACCAUAAACCUAUGCCGACUAGGGAUCGGACGUAAAGUUAAUUUUUAAUGUACUUCGUUCCGGCUACCG
rnacentral:rRNA from 1 species